AGACGACCUCUUGCUGACCGCAAAGAUGAACUGGGAGAAGCGUGCUCAAAACCACUCCCGGGCACCUGUUGCAUCCUCUGGUGAUUUCUAUGCCACUGCCGCGCACUUCGGUGCGCGCAAUUUGCCCGCCGCAGUUGCAAGCGACGAUUUCCGUGCCUUUGCGCCAUUUGAAAGCAAGGAUUUCCGUGCCGCGGCUGCCGCACGCCUCGAGAACUGCGCCAGUGUCGGGGUCCCGAUUUCCUCGCCCCGUCUUCGGAGAGCCGCACCUGUCGGAGACCCGAUGACUGACGGACCUGUCGAGGGAAAAGCUCUUCUGCGACACGAUCGGGUGACGUACGUGUCGGCGUCUCGUCGUCGAGCCCGUCCAAGAUACGGCGCUUCCAGAAAGAGAAGUUGCAUCACUCGACCGGCGCUGAUCGAGAUCUCGUUCUCAACCGCGGCAGUGAACUCUCUUCGUGUACUUCGGCUGUUUUGAAGGCCCGAGGACGAUAACACGGACAGUCAUUUGGCAACGGAUGAAAUUCCGGCGAUGGUUCAUGGUUUCGCCAAAAAACCAUACGUGUGAAUAAAUGUGUCAAAUCGA